GCUAAACCACAACAGCAAAUUGAGCACUUUUCUUUUUUUCUAGAGACUUCCAUGAUGAGUUUCAUGCAUCUCACAAAUAAAACACAGUUUGCUGUAAGGAGGGCUUACUCUUGGCUUGGCCUCAGCCAUGCCUCAAGCAGUAUCAAUGCCAUCUGGGACACCUGCUCACAUCCAUGCUUGCUUCAAGGCCUUCCAGUGAGCCCCUGAGCUGGACCAACCUCAUCUGGACUGGUCUGUUCAUCCUGGUUGAAGAAACCUGGCAAGGAUAUCACUUUACUUCUUCAGCCUGGAAAUCAGAACAUCUCCAAAGAGAGUGGGACAAAAUGAAAGAAAGAAAAAAACAUUUUGAAUUUCCUGGGAUGGAGUUAUUUGAGACUUAAAAGGUGUUGAGAAGUUUUGCUGUUCAUUGUUCUAAUAAGGUGCAUGUCAUUGAUGUCAACCUAAUGUGCUGAGGAAAUGUCACACAUGUCUGCAAUUGGCUACUUCUGGCUGGCCAAGCACAGCUGGAAGCCUGGAAAACAGAUGUUACUUUCAAUCAAGCAAGGGUCAGAGCAGGCUUGGGACUUGGAAUGUCUAUAUAUUUCCAUCCAAAAAUGAUCCUUGGGUAGUUUCAGUGGACCAGUAAUUAUUUUAGCAGCUUUUCUGUUUUUGUUGUUGGUUUUUUUUAAUCUUCAGUAUUAUGCCUGUAGAACAGAGGAACAAAAACCAGUGGGCAUGCAUCCAGGGAGCUUGGGACAAUGAUGGAGAGGAGUCCAACACAAGAACAUCAUUGCUGUGUUCUCUGAGCCAUGCCUGGUAACUUGGUAACACUUAACCGUAUACAGUGAACAGUUUUCUAUUGACUAAAACAUAAACAUCUGAAGCCACCUGGCUGAAGUCUAUUUUGCAAGACUGAGAACAGCAGUCAUUUUAUGACUCUUUAUCCUGAUAGAAUUCUCUGUUCUUUAUAUUUUGUUCUCUGUGUGUCAUCCUCAAAAGAUUGAACAGGGUUGUUUUGUGACUGGCAUGUAAAGAAGAGAACUUGGAAACAAUGCACUGUACAGCUUCCAGUAUGGACUGCACAGAAGCCUUGAAAGAGAACCAAGGCUUUGCUUCCUAGCUACAAAUGUGAAGCUGUAAAUCUGGACUUGGUUCACAGAAAUCAGAGUUAAGUUUCUUUCAAUAAAAGAAAGAUUUUUUUGCA
rnacentral:lncRNA from 1 species